rnacentral:rRNA from 1 species
GCAAGCCGAGCGGUAGAGAUCUUUCGGGAUCUUGAGAGCGGCGUACGGGUGCGGAACACGUGUGCAACCUGCCUUUAUCUGGGGGAUAGCCUUUCGAAAGGAAGAUUAAUACCCCAUAAUAUGUUAAACGGCAUCGUUCUUUAUUGAAAACUCCGGUGGAUAGAGAUGGGCACGCGCAAGAUUAGAUAGUUGGUGAGGUAACGGCUCACCAAGUCUACGAUCUUUAGGGGGCCUGAGAGGGUGAUCCCCCACACUGGUACUGAGACACGGACCAGACUCCUACGGGAGGCAGCAGUGAGGAAUAUUGGACAAUGGGUGAGAGCCUGAUCCAGCCAUCCCGCGUGAAGGACGACGGCCCUAUGGGUUGUAAACUUCUUUUGUAUAGGGAUAAACCUACCCUCGUGAGGGUAGCUGAAGGUACUAUACGAAUAAGCACCGGCUAACUCCGUGCCAGCAGCCGCGGUAAUACGGAGGGUGCAAGCGUUAUCCGGAUUUAUUGGGUUUAAAGGGUCCGUAGGCGGAUNUGUAAGUCAGUGGUGAAAUCUCACAGCUUAACUGUGAAACUGCCAUUGAUACUGCAGGUCUUGAGUGUUAUUGAAGUAGCUGGAAUAAGUAGUGUAGCGGUGAAAUGCAUAGAUAUUACUUAGAACACCAAUUGCGAAGGCAGGUUACUAAGCAACAACUGACGCUGAUGGACGAAAGCGUGGGGAGCGAACAGGAUUAGAUACCCUGGUAGUCCACGCCGUAAACGAUGCUAACUCGUUUUUGGGCUUUCGGGUUCAGAGACUAAGCGAAAGUGAUAAGUUAGCCACCUGGGGAGUACGUUCGCAAGAAUGAAACUCAAAGGAAUUGACGGGGGCCCGCACAAGCGGUGGAUUAUGUGGUUUAAUUCGAUGAUACGCGAGGAACCUUACCAAGGCUUAAAUGGGAAAUGACAGGUUUAGAAAUAGACUUUUCUUCGGACAUUUUUCAAGGUGCUGCAUGGUUGUCGUCAGCUCGUGCCGUGAGGUGUUAGGUUAAGUCCUGCAACGAGCGCAACCCCUGUCACUAGUUGCCAUCAUUAAGUUGGGGACUCUAGUGAGACUGCCUACGCAAGUAGAGAGGAAGGUGGGGAUGACGUCAAAUCAUCACGGCCCUUACGCCUUGGGCCACACACGUAAUACAAUGGCCGGUACAGAGGGCAGCUACACAGCGAUGUGAUGCAAAUCUCGAAAGCCGGUCUCAGUUCGGAUUGGAGUCUGCAACUCGACUCUAUGAAGCUGGAAUCGCUAGUAAUCGCGCAUCAGCCAUGGCGCGGUGAAUACGUUCCCGGGCCUUGUACACACCGCCCGUCAAGCCAUGGAAGUCUGGGGUACCUGAAGUCGGUGACCGUAACAGGAGCU